rnacentral:rRNA from 1 species
CCUGGUGGCGAGUGGCGAACGGGUGAGUAAUAUAUCGGAACGUGCCCAGUCGUGGGGGAUAACGCAGCGAAAGCUGUGCUAAUACCGCAUACGAUCUCUGGAUGAAAGCGGGGGACUCGCAAGGGCCUCGCGCGAUUGGAGCGGCCGAUAUCAGAUUAGCUAGUUGGUGGGGUAAAAGCCCACCAAGGCGACGAUCUGUAGCUGGUCUGAGAGGACGACCAGCCACACUGGAACUGAGACACGGUCCAGACUCCUACGGGAGGCAGCAGUGGGGAAUUUUGGACAAUGGGCGCAAGCCUGAUCCAGCAAUGCCGCGUGCAGGAUGAAGGCCUUCGGGUUGUAAACUGCUUUUGUACGGAACGAAACGGUCCUUUCUAAUAAAAGGGGCUAAUGACGGUACCGUAAGAAUAAGCACCGGCUAACUACGUGCCAGCAGCCGCGGUAAUACGUAGGGUGCGAGCGUUAAUCGGAAUUACUGGGCGUAAAGCGUGCGCAGGCGGUUAUAUAAGACAGAUGUGAAAUCCCCGGGCUCAACCUGGGCACUGCAUUUGUGACUGUAUAGCUAGAGUACGGUACAGGGGGAUGGAAUUCCGCGUGUAGCAGUGAAAUGCGUAUAUAUGCGGAGGAACACCGAUGGCGAAGACAAUCCCCUGGACCUGUACUGACGCUCAUGCACGAAAGCGUGGGGAGCAAACAGGAUUAGAUACCCUGGUAGUCCACGCCCUAAACGAUGUCAACUGGUUGUUGGGUCUUCA